rnacentral:rRNA from 1 species
GGUUAAGCGACUAAGCGUACACGGUGGAUGCCCUGGCAGUCAGAGGCGAUGAAGGGCGUGCUAAUCUGCGAUAAGCGCCGGUAAGGUGAUAUGAACCGUUAUAACCGGCGAUACCCGAAUGGGGAAACCCAGUGUGACUCGUCACACUAUCAUUAACUGAAUCCAUAGGUUAAUGAGGCGAACCGGGGGAACUGAAACAUCUAAGUACCCCGAGGAAAAGAAAUCAACCGAGAUUCCCCCAGUAGCGGCGAGCGAACGGGGAGGAGCCCAGAGCCUGAAUCAGCAUGUGUGUUAGUGGAAGCGUCUGGAAAGGCGCGCGAUACAGGGUGACAGCCCCGUACACAAAAGCGCAUGUGCUGUGAGCUCGAUGAGUAGGGCGGGACACGUGGUAUCCUGUCUGAAUAUGGGGGGACCAUCCUCCAAGGCUAAAUACUCCUGACUGACCGAUAGUGAACCAGUACCGUGAGGGAAAGGCGAAAAGAACCCCGGCGAGGGGAGUGAAAAAGAACCUGAAACCGUGUACGUACAAGCAGUGGGAGCCCCACCACUAAGCCAGUGGUGAACUCCACAUACGCAUCCUUUGCUGAGGAUACGGUUAACGGAGCGAAAGCGACGUUCAACCGCAAAAGAAGCAGAGGGGGCUUAGUGGUGGGGUGACUGCGUACCUUUUGUAUAAUGGGUCAGCGACUUAUAUUCUGUAGCAAGGUUAACCGAAUAGGGGAGCCGCAGGGAAACCGAGUCUUAAUUGGGCGUUAAGUUGCAGGGUAUAGACCCGAAACCCGGUGAUCUAGCCAUGGGCAGGUUGAAGGUUGGGUAACACUAACUGGAGGACCGAACCGACUAAUGUUGAAAAAUUAGCGGAUGACCUGUGGCUGGGGGUGAAAGGCCAAUCAAACCGGGAGAUAGCUGGUUCUCCCCGAAAGCUAUUUAGGUAGCGCCUCGUGAAUUCAUCUCCGGGGGUAGAGCACUGUUUCGGCUAGGGGGCCAUCCCGGCUUACCAACCCGAUGCAAACUGCGAAUACCGGAGAAUGUUAUCACGGGAGACACACGGCGGGUGCUAACGUCCGUCGUGAAGAGGGAAACAACCCAGACCGCCAGCUAAGGUCCCAAAGUCAUGGUUAAGUGGGAAACGAUGUGGGAAGGCCCAGACAGCCAGGAUGUUGGCUUAGAAGCAGCCAUCAUUUAAAGAAAGCGUAAUAGCUCACUGGUCGAGUCGGCCUGCGCGGAAGAUGUAACGGGGCUAAACCAUGCACCGAAGCUGCGGCAGCGACGCUGAUGCGUUGUUGGGUAGGGGAGCGUUCUGUAAGCCUGUGAAGGUGUGUCGUGAGGCAUGCUGGAGGUAUCAGAAGUGCGAAUGCUGACAUAAGUAACGAUAAAGCGGGUGAAAAGCCCGCUCGCCGGAAGACCAAGGGUUCCUGUCCAACGUUAAUCGGGGCAGGGUGAGUCGACCCCUAAGGCGAGGCCGAAAGGCGUAGUCGAUGGGAAACGGGUUAAUAUUCCCGUACUUGGUGUUACUGCGAAGGGGGGACGGAGAAGGCUAUGUUGGCCGGGCGACGGUUGUCCCGGUUUAAGCGUGUAGGUGUGUGUUCCAGGUAAAUCCGGUUCACUUUAACACUGAGGCGUGAUGACGAGGCACUACGGUGCUGAAGCAACAAAUGCCCUGCUUCCAGGAAAAGCCUCUAAGCAUCAGGUAACAUCAAAUCGUACCCCAAACCGACACAGGUGGUCAGGUAGAGAAUACCAAGGCGCUUGAGAGAACUCGGGUGAAGGAACUAGGCAAAAUGGUGCCGUAACUUCGGGAGAAGGCACGCUGACACGUAGGUGAAGUGAUUUACUCACGGAGCUGAAGUCAGUCGAAGAUACCAGCUGGCUGCAACUGUUUAUUAAAAACACAGCACUGUGCAAACACGAAAGUGGACGUAUACGGUGUGACGCCUGCCCGGUGCCGGAAGGUUAAUUGAUGGGGUCAGCGCAAGCGAAGCUCCUGAUCGAAGCCCCGGUAAACGGCGGCCGUAACUAUAACGGUCCUAAGGUAGCGAAAUUCCUUGUCGGGUAAGUUCCGACCUGCACGAAUGGCGUAAUGAUGGCCAGGCUGUCUCCACCCGAGACUCAGUGAAAUUGAACUCGCUGUGAAGAUGCAGUGUACCCGCGGCAAGACGGAAAGACCCCGUGAACCUUUACUAUAGCUUGACACUGAACAUUGAGCCUUGAUGUGUAGGAUAGGUGGGAGGCUUUGAAGUGUGGACGCCAGUCUGCAUGGAGCCGACCUUGAAAUACCACCCUUUAAUGUUUGAUGUUCUAACGUGGACCCGUAAUCCGGGUUGCGGACAGUGUCUGGUGGGUAGUUUGACUGGGGCGGUCUCCUCCUAAAGAGUAACGGAGGAGCACGAAGGUUGGCUAAUCCUGGUCGGACAUCAGGAGGUUAGUGCAAUGGCAUAAGCCAGCUUGACUGCGAGCGUGACGGCGCGAGCAGGUGCGAAAGCAGGUCAUAGUGAUCCGGUGGUUCUGAAUGGAAGGGCCAUCGCUCAACGGAUAAAAGGUACUCCGGGGAUAACAGGCUGAUACCGCCCAAGAGUUCAUAUCGACGGCGGUGUUUGGCACCUCGAUGUCGGCUCAUCACAUCCUGGGGCUGAAGUAGGUCCCAAGGGUAUGGCUGUUCGCCAUUUAAAGUGGUACGCGAGCUGGGUUUAGAACGUCGUGAGACAGUUCGGUCCCUAUCUGCCGUGGGCGCUGGAGAACUGAGGGGGGCUGCUCCUAGUACGAGAGGACCGGAGUGGACGCAUCACUGGUGUUCGGGUUGUCAUGCCAAUGGCACUGCCCGGUAGCUAAAUGCGGAAGAGAUAAGUGCUGAAAGCAUCUAAGCACGAAACUUGCCCCGAGAUGAGUUCUCCCUGAGACUUUAAGUCUCCUGAAGGAACGUUGAAGACGACGACGUUGAUAGGCCGGGUGUGUAAGCGCAGCGAUGCGUUGAGCUAACCGGUACUAAUGAACCGUGAGGCUUAACCUU